UACGAAGGGGGCUAGCGUUGCUCGGAAUCACUGGGCGUAAAGCGCACGUAGGCGGCUUGUUAAGUCAGGGGUGAAAUCCUGGAGCUCAGCUCCAGAACUGCCUUUGAUACUGGCGAGCUUGAGUCCGGGAGAGGUGAGUGGAACUGCGAGUGUAGAGGUGAAAUUCGUAGAUAUUCGCAAGAACACCAGUGGCGAAGGCGGCUCACUGGCCCGGUACUGACGCUGAGGUGCGAAAGCGUGGGGAGCAAACAGG
rnacentral:rRNA from 1 species